rnacentral:rRNA from 1 species
UUGACCUCGAAUCAGGUAGGAAUACCCGCUGAACUUAAGCAUAUCAAUAAGCGGAGGAAAAGAAACCAACCGGGAUUACCUCAGUAACGGCGAGUGAAGCGGUAACAGCUCAAAUUUGAAAUCUGGCUCUUCCGGAGUCCGAGUUGUAAUUUGUAGAAGAUGCUUUGGGUUGUGGGUUCGGCCUAAGUUCCUUGGAACAGGACGUCAUAGAGGGUGAGAAUCCCGUAUGUGGCCGAGGCCCGCGCCUAUGUAAAGCUCUUUCAACGAGUCGAGUUGUUUGGGAAUGCAGCUCAAAAUGGGUGGUAAAUUUCAUCUAAAGCUAAAUAUGGGCCAGAGACCGAUAGCGCACAAGUAGAGUGAUCGAAAGAUGAAAAGCACUUUGGAAAGAGAGUUAAACAGUACGUGAAAUUGUUGAAAGGGAAGCGCUUGCAACCAGACUUGGGCGCUGUCGAUCACCCCGAGUUCUCUCGAGUGCACUCGACAGCGCACAGGCCAGCAUCGGUUCGGGUGGCUGGAUAAAGGCCGUAGGAACGUGGCUCCCUUCGGGGAGUGUUAUAGCCUACGGUGCCAUGCAGCCCAGCCGGACCGAGGACCGCGCCUUCGGGCUAGGAUGCUGGCGUAAUGGUUGUAAGCGACCCGUCUUGAAACACGGACCAAGGAGUCUAACAUCUAUGCGAGUGUUUGGGUGGUAAACCCAUACGCGGAAUGAAAGUGAACGUAGGUGAGAACCCCUUUGGGGCGCAUCA